AUGGGAGUCCUGGCGUUCUUCUGCUGGCUCAGACAAAAGUACCCGUCCAUCAUAGUCAACUGCGUGGAAAAGAAGCCAAAACAACGCAAUGGUGUAAAGAUUCCAGUUGAUGCCAGUAAACCUAAUCCAAAUGAUGUGGAGUUUGAUAAUCUGUAUUUGGAUAUGAAUGGAAUCAUCCAUCCCUGUACUCAUCCUGAAGACAAACCAGCACCAAAAAAUGAAGAUGAAAUGCUGGUUGCAGUUUUUGAGUACAUUGACAGGCUUUUCAGUAUUGUAAGACCAAGACGACUUCUCUACAUGGCAAUAGAUGGAGUGGCACCACGUGCUAAAAUGAACAAGCAGCGUUCAAGGAGGUUCAAGGCAUCAAAAGAAGGAAUAGAAGCAGCAGUCGAGAAGCAGUGAGUCAGGGAAGAAAUAUUGGCAAAAGAUGGCUUUCUUCCUCCAGAAGAAAUAAAAGAAAGAUUUGACAGCAACUGUAUUACACCAGGAACUGAAUUCAUAGACAAUCUUGCUAAAUGCCUUCACUAUUACAUAGCUGAUUGUUUAAAUAAUGACCCUGGGUGGAAAAAUUUGACAGUUAUUUUAUCUGAUGCUAGUGCUCCCGGUGAAAGAGAACAUAAAGUCAUGGAUUACAUUAGAAGGCCAAGAGCCCAGCCUAACCAUGACCCAAAUACUCAUCAUUGUUUAUGUAGAGCAGAUGCUGGUCUCAUUAUGCUUAGCCUUGCCACACACGAACCAAACUUUACCAUUAUUAGAGAAGAAUUCAAACCAAACAAGCCCGAACCAUGUGGUCUUUGUAAUCAGUUUGGACAUGAGGUUAAAGAUUGUGAAGGUUUGCCAAGAGAAAAGAAGAGAAAGCAUGAUGAACUUGCCGAUAGUCUUCCUUGUGCAGAAGGAGAGUUUAUCUUCCUUUGGCUUAAUGUUCUUCGUGCGUAUCUGGAAAGAGAACUCACAAUGGCCAGCCUACCAUUCACAUUCGAUGUUGAGAGGAGCAUUGAUGACUGGGUUUUCAUGUGCUUCUUUGUGGGAAAUGACUUCCUCCCUCAUUUGCCAUCGGUAGAGAUUAGGGAAAAUGCAAUUGACCGUUUGGUCAACAUAUACAAAAAUGUGGCACACAAAACUGGGGUUACCUUACUGACAGUGGUUAUGUCAAUCUGCAAAGAGUACAGAUGAUCAUGUUAGCAGUUGGUGAAGUUGAGGAUAGCAUUUUUAAAAAGAGAAAGGAUGAUGAGGGCAGUUUUAGAAGAUGACAGAAAGAAAAAAGAAAGAGAAUGAAGAGAGAUCAACCAACCUUCACUCCUAGUGGAAUAUUAACUCCUCAUGCCUUGGGUUCAAGAAAUUCACCAGGUUCUCAAGUAGCCAGUAAUCCGAGACAAGCAGCCUAUGAAAUGAGGAUGCAGAAUAACUCUAGUCCUUCAAUAUCUCCUAAUACGAGUUUCAUAUCUGAUGGCUCCCCAUCUCUAAUGGGAGGAAUUAAGCGAAAAGCAGAAGACAGUGACAGUGAACCUGAGCCAGAGGAUAACGUCAGGUUAUGGGAAGCUGGCUGGAAGCAGCGGUACUACAAGAACAAAUUUGACGUGGAUGCAGCUGAUGAGAAAUUCCGUCAGAAAGUUGUGCAUUCGUACGUUGAAGGACUUUGCUGGGUUCUUAGAUAUUAUUAUCAGGGCUGUGCUUCCUGGAAGUGGUAUUAUCCAUUUCAUUAUGCGCCAUUUGCUUCAGACUUUGAAGGCAUUGCAGACGUGCCAUCUGAUUUUGAGAAGGGUACAAAACCGUUUAAACCACUGGAACAACUUAUGGGAGUUUUUCCAGCUGCAAGUGGUAAUUUUCUUCCUCCAUCAUGGCGGAAGCUCAUGAGUGACCCUGAUUCUAGUAUAAUUGACUUCCAUCCUGAAGAUUUUGCUAUUGAUUUGAAUGGGAAGAAAUAUGCAUGGCAAGGUGUUUCUCUCUUGCCAUUCAUGGAUGAGCGAAGGCUACGAGCUGCCCUAGAAGAGGUAUACCCAGACUUCACUACAGAAGAGACCAGAAGAAACAGCCUUGGAGGUGAUGUCUUAUUUGUGGGGAAACAUCACCCACUCCAUGACUUCAUUUUAGAGCUGUACCAGACAGGUUCCACAGAGCCAGUGGAUGUACCCCUGAACUAUGUCAUGGGAUUCAAGGAAAGUUUUCUCUGGAUGAAGAAGCCAUUCUUCCAGAUCAAAUAGUAUGUUCUCCUGUUCCUAUGUUAAGGGAUCUGACAUAGAACACUGUAGUCAGUAUUAAUUUUAAAGACCCACAGUUUGCUGAAGAUUAUAUUUUUAAAGCUGUAAUGCUUCCAGGAGCAAGAAAGCUAGCAGCAGUACUGAAACCUAGUGACUGGGAAAAAUCCAGCAACGGACAGCAGUGGAAGCCUCAGCUUGGCUUUAACUGUGACCGGAGGCCUGUACACCUGGAUCAGGCAGGCUUCAGGACUUUGGGCCAUGUUAUGCCAAGAGGCUCAGGAACUGGCAUUUACAGCAAUGCUGCACCACCACCUGCGACUUAUCAGGGAAACUUAUACAGGCCGCUUUUGAGAGGACAAGCCCAGAUUCCAAAACUUAUGUCAAAUAUGAGGCCCCAGGAUUCCUGGCAAGGUCCUCCUCCCCUUUUCCAGCAGCAAAGGUUUGACGGAGGCAUUGGGGCUGAACCUCUGCUCCCAUGGAAACGGAUGCUGCAAACCCAGAAUGCAGCCUUCCAGCCAAACCAGUACCAGAUGCUAGCUGGGCCUGGUGGGUAUCCACCCAGACGAGAUGAUCUUGGAGGGAGACAGGGAUAUCACAGAGAAGGAAGGAAAUAUCCUUUGCCACCACCCUCAGGAAGAUACAAUUGAAAUUAAGCUUUUGUAAAGCUUUCCCA